rnacentral:rRNA from 1 species
UACAGAGGGUGCGAGCGUUAAUCGGAAUUACUGGGCGUAAAGCGUGCGUAGACGGUUAUUUAAGUCGGGUGUGAAAGCCCCGGGCUCAACCUGGGAAUUGCAUUCGAGACUGAAUAGCUAGGGUACGGUAGAGGGAAGUGGAAUUUCCGGUGUAGCGGUGAAAUGCGUAGAUAUACGGAGGAACACCUGCGGCGAAGGCGGGUAGCUGGGCCAACACUGACGCUGAGACGCGAAAGCUAGGGGAGCAAACGGG